UACGGAGGGGGCAAGCGUUAUUCGGAAUUAUUGGGCGUAAAGGGCGCGUAGGCGGCUAGAUGUGUCAAAGGUGAAAUCCCUCGGCUCAACUAAGGAACUGCCUUUGAAACUGUCUGGCUUGAGGCCGGGAGAGGGUAGCGGAAUUCCCAGUGUAGCGGUGAAAUGCGCAGAUAUCAGGAGGAACACCGAUGGCGAAGGCAGCUUACUGGGCCGAUACUGACGCUGAGGAGCGAAAGCGUGGGGAGCGAACAGG
rnacentral:rRNA from 1 species